CUUCUCCCACUGGGGUCCAAGCAAGUGCUGCCUGCCCAGGUGGACAGGGCACAGGCUGCUGGAAUCACCCCAGAGGGAAGAUGGGUGUUUCCCAGGGACUGUGGAUUUUGUGUGUGUGCGCACCUUUGGAGCUAGGUUCUCGGCACAGUAUCUCCAUCUACUGCCUGCAGGGUGUUCCCAGCUCCUGGCACCUGCACAGAGUAGUGCUUGCUACCUUUUCUUGUUGUCCGAUGGAGGAAAGAGGAAAGGAAAAGCGAUAAAGACUGGCACACUGAGGUACAGCGGCAGGAAGGAACUGGUCCAAGCCUUUCGAAAGGUUGCAAGAAACACCGGACACAUUCCAGCGUCCUGACUUUUUCCAAGAUGCUCUGCUACCACAGUCUCUAGAGCCCAACAUACACACAGCCAGGAGUCAUGAGGACAUCACAGCCCUCCGGCCUCCCUCCCCGUUGCCACCCAGCUAGUGCCGUCUUUAGCACUGUCCCCACUCUGGUACCAAAUUCUGGGGCUCUCCCAGGCUUCUCAUCUCAGAUCACGGGCCCAUGUUCACCCAGAUGCUCCAAGCUCACCCAGAAGCAGGGGAGUAAUCCUUUGAGUCUCUUACUUCCUGAAAGCUCAUGUCAGCAGAUCCUGGUGUUCCGAACUCCAAAAGGUGCUCCCCCCGCUCUAUGCACACCUCUCCAUUUGCACCAACACUACUAGCCUGGGCCAUUUUCUUCUUUUACCUGGACAACUAGUCUCGUCUGCCUGCGUCACUAUUCCCCUAAAGAUCUAGUCUUCCUGCACCAACCACAGGGAUGUUGAAAAGGUAGAAAUGGUAGUAUUUUACUACCCUAUUCAAAACCCUCAUUCACUCCCCAUCACACACAAAAUAAGACCUGGACUCUGGCCACAAGCCCGGAAGGACUCCCGGCCUCCUAGCUCCUGCCUACCUUCCUAUCUUCCACCACUGCCUGGACGCCAACUCACUCCAUCUCAAGCUUGCCAUUGACCCUUCCCUCCACUGGAUGCACCUUUGCAGACAGACUUUGAGUGGUUAGCUUCCUUCAUUCACUCGAAUCUCUCCUCAAGUGUCACCUGCCCUGGGAGGACCCCUCCCCAGCACCUCCUGUUGUUCUGUUUCAUUCUUUUUUGGCCGUUUCUUCCAGCAGACUGUAAAUCCCAUGGUGGCAGGAGCCUGAUACUCAUGGCUGUGUCCGCAGGGCCCAGCACAGGGUCCAGUACAUAGAGAGUGGGUCGUUAUUACCAGCUACAGACCCUUCAAAAAGAGGAGAUUUUAUCAUGGAUGGAGCAGCGCCGACCUAACCCCCCCUUGAGCCUCUAAGCUCCUUAUACUUCCUGCUGGCACCACCCCUCUCCCUACAUCUUUCUGGGGUUAUCUGGAGCUGGUCUGCAGCCAGGAAUGCCAUACUUUGCUAAUCUUUUCAGGGGCCUGAACAAUCCCUAAAGUCACGGGGUGGGAGGUGCUCCCUCAGGAUCUCAGCUGGCUGUGCAGAAAUCAGGACUCCCUGACCCAAGCCACUCCCAGGCCCUUUUACCUCACCUUCCA